rfam:Coxiella sp. RIFCSPHIGHO2_12_FTLL_42_15 rifcsphigho2_12_scaffold_9032, whole genome shotgun sequence.
UUUAGGUCCCCUCGCAACGAUAUAUUGCAAACCCCGCCAGGCCCGGAAGGGAGCAACGGUAGUAAUAGACUCGGGUGCCGAGGUGCGGCUUAAAUAG